AAGUCGUAACAAGGUUUCCGUAGGUGAACCUGCGGAAGUAUCCAAACGUUAAACCCCCCUGUGAACCUUCACCUGUACUCGUACGUCCGUUAGAAAAAGCAGCGAACAGUUUUCGAUUCAGGGACGUCUGCAAGGAGCGUGCAUGUUGUGCGAAGCAAGUGGCCUGGCAUCCCCAAGCAGUUAUUACCUGUGUAAGGAUGACGCAGUCACGAUGCCCACACGGCCGACGACCGGGUCGCUGGGCGCAAGCCCCUGUAACAAACCCCCUGCCAAUCGCGGCCGCGAUAAUACGCAGUCGACCAAAAACCGAACAACUGUUAACAAUGGAUAUCUUGGUUCUC
rnacentral:misc_RNA from 1 species